GCGCAGCAGUCGAGAAUAGUCUACAAUGGACGAAAGUCUGAUAGUGCGACGCCGUGUGUGCGAUUAAUUCCUUCGGGAUGUAAAGUACUUUUCUAUGAGAUAAAAGCUCUUUAGGUUAAUAGCUUAUUGAGACGGAUAUUAUUAUAGGAAUAAGCUCCGGCUAACUCCGUGCCAGCAGCCGCGGUAAUACGGAAGGAGCGAGCGUUGUCCGGAUUUACUAGGCGUAAAGGGCUAGUAGGCGACUAAUUAAGUUAUAUGUUAAAUCCCACGGCUCAACUGUGGUCCUGCAUGUAAUACUGGUUAGAUAGAGUACUGUAGAGGAAGGCAGAAUUCCUGGAGUAGCGGUGGAAUGCGCAGAUAUCAGGAAGAAUACCAAAAGCGAAGGCAGCCUUCUGGGCAGUUACUGACGCUGAAUAGCGAAGGUGUGGGUAGCGAACAGGAUUAGAUACCCCGGUAGU
rnacentral:rRNA from 1 species